rnacentral:rRNA from 1 species
GCAGCAGCCGCGGGAAUACGAAGGGGGCUAGCGUUGUUCGGAAUUACUGGGCGUAAAGCGCACGUAGGCGGACAUUUAAGUCAGGGGUGAAAUCCCGGGGCUCAACCCCGGAACUGCCUUUGAUACUGGGUGUCUAGAGUAUGGAAGAGGUGAGUGGAAUUCCGAGUGUAGAGGUGAAAUUCGUAGAUAUUCGGAGGAACACCAGUGGCGAAGGCGGCUCACUGGUCCAUUACUGACGCUGAGGUGCGAAAGCGUGGGGAGCAAACAGGAUUAGAUACCCCAGUAGUCCCUGUCUCUUAUAC